CUACGGGGGGCAGCAGUGGGGAAUAUUGCACAAUGGGGGAAACCCUGAUGCAGCAACGCCGCGUGGAGGAUGACGCAUUUCGGUGUGUAAACUCCUUUUAUAUAGGAAGAUAAUGACGGUACUAUAUGAAUAAGCACCGGCUAACUCCGUGCCAGCAGCCGCGGUAAUACGGAGGGUGCAAGCGUUACUCGGAAUCACUGGGCGUAAAGCGCGCGCAGGCGGCCUUUUAAGUUGGAUGUGAAAGCCUAUGGCUUAACCAUAGAACUGCAUCCAAAACUAUCAGGCUAGAGUCCGGGAGGGGAAGAUGGAAUUAGUUGUGUAGGGGUAAAAUCCGUAGAGAUAACUAGGAAUACCAAAAGCGAAGGCGAUCUUCUGGAACAGUACUGACGCUGAGGCGCGAAAGCGUGGGGAGCAAACAGGAUUAGAUACCCCAGUAGUC
rnacentral:rRNA from 1 species